rnacentral:lncRNA from 1 species
AAUCCCAGGAGACAGGCAUCCAGAAUAGUCAGGGUUAGGUAGUAAAGGAGUUGGAAAAUGGAAAGCUAGUGAUGAUGUAAUGUUCCAGCUCCUGAAGCUUCAGAACUUAGCAGCUUUGGUCAUUAGGCUCUGGCUGUAUAUUCAAGAGGACAAAUUGAUGCUGGUUAGCUGGAGCUAAGAAAUUAGUGGUGAUUAAGAAGAGACCAGCGGGCUGGUGAGAUGGCUCAGUGGGUAAGAGCACCCAACUGCUCUUCCGAAGGUCUGGAGUUCAAAUCCCAGCAACCACAUGGUGGCUCACAACCAUCUGUAACGAGAUCUGACUCCCUCUUCUGGAGUGUCUGAAGACAGCUACAGUGUACUUACAUAUAACCAAUAAAUAAAUCUUUAAAAAAAAAGAGAGAGAGAAAUGGUUCUUAACUACUGAGCCAUCUCUCCC